rnacentral:rRNA from 1 species
GGACUGUACCUGACGCUAAGGCACGAAAGCGUGGGGAGCAAACCGGAUUAGAUACCCGGGUAGUCCACGCCCUAAACGAUGGAUACUAGAUGUGGGGGGUAUCGACCCCCCCGUGUCGAAGCUAACGCGAUAAGUAUCCCGCCUGGGGAGUACGGCCGCAAGGCUAAAACUCAAAGGAAUUGACGGGUCCCCGCACAAGCAGCGGAGCGUGUGGUUUAAUUCGAUGAUAAGCGAAGAACCUUACCAGGGCUUGACAUGUUUCCGACCGCCUGCGAAAGCAGGUUUUCACUUCGGUGACGGUUACACAGAUGUUGCAUGGCUGUCGUCAGCUCGUGCCGUGAGGUGUUGGGUUAAGUCCCGCAACGAGCGCAACCCUUGUCGUUAGUUACUAUGUCUAGCGAGACUGCUCCUAAAAGGGGAGAGGAAGGUGGGGAUGACGUCAAGUCAGCACGGCUCUUACGCUCUGGGCUACACACACGCUACAAUGGCCGAAACAGAGGGUCGCGAAGGCGCGAGCCGGAGCUAAUCCCAUAAAUUCGGCCUCAGUUGGAAUUGCAGGCUGCAACUCGCCUGCAUGAACGUGGAGUUGCUAGUAAACGCAGGUCAGCGCACUGCGUUGAAUACGUUCCCGGGGAUUGUACACACCGCCCGUCACGUCAUGGAAGUCGGUAACACUUGAAGUCGCUGGGCCAACCCGCAAGGGGGGCAGGCGCCGAGGGUGGGACUGGUGACUGGGACGAAGUCGUAACAAGGUAAC